AAAGAAAAUAACAAUGAUUCCCCUAGUAACGGCGAGCGAAGAGGGAAUAGCUCAAAUUUUAAAUCUGUUGGGUCUUACCUAACCGAGUUGUAAUUUGAAGAAACGUUUUCUGCGUGUUUGAUUUAGCCCAAAUCCUUUGGGAUAAGGUAUCAUGGAGGGUGAGAAUCCCGUCCGGCCUAAUCAAAUGUGCUUUACGAUACGUUUUCUAAGAGUCGAGUUGUUUGGGAUUGCAGCUCAAAAUGGGAGGUAAAUUUCUCCUAAGGCUAAAUAUAGGCGAGAGACCGAUAGCGAACAAGUACCGUGAGGGAAAGAUGAAAAGAACUUUGAAAAGAGAGUUAAACAGUACGUGAAAUUGUUGAAAGGGAAACGAUUAAAGUCAGUCGUACUAACGGGGAAUCAACCUUUUGAGGGUGGAAUUGUGGGAUUCAGAGUGCCUUUGUCUUUCACAACCUGCUUUUUUUGGGUGCACUUCCCCGUAUUGUAGGUCAGCAUCGGUUUCGACCGUUAUAAAAUGACUGGAGGAAUGUAGCUUCGAUCUCGUAUUGAAGUGUUAUAGCCUUUGGUAGAUGUAACGGAUGGGAUCGAGGAUUGCAAUGAAUACCCUCAUGGGCUAUCCGCCUGGCCUCUGACAUGUCACUCUGGUGCCGAAAGCUUGCUUAUGGUAUUAUAGUGUACGGUCAAAAGGUUAGAACGGAUUAAAUU
rnacentral:rRNA from 1 species